GGGGGGGGGGGGGGGCGGGCGUGAGACAGGCAAGGCGAACGGGGGGGCCCAGCGUGCUGGGUGGGUUAGGGGCGAACGGGCGGGUAACACGGGCGCGACCUGCCCUUAACUCUGGGGUAGGCCGGGGGAACUGGGUCUACUACCGGAGAGGAGCGUCCACCGCCGGGUGGGUGUUGGAAAGAUUUAUCGGUUUUGGGUGUACUCGCGCCCUAUCAGCUUGUUGGUGCGGUAAGGGCUCACCAAGUCGACGACGGGUAGCCGGCCUGAGAGGGGGACCGGCCACACUGGGACUGAGACACGGCCCAGACUCCUACGGGAGGCAGCAGUGGGGAACAUUGCACAAUGGGCGCAAGCCUGAUGCAGCGACGCCGCGUGAGGGAUGACGGCCUUCGGGGUGUAAACCUCUUUCAGUAGGGAAGAAGCGAAAGUGACGGUACCUGAAGAAGAAGCACCGGCUAACUACGUG
rnacentral:rRNA from 1 species